rnacentral:rRNA from 1 species
CAGUAGCCGCGGUAAUACGAAGGGGGCUAGCGUUGCUCGGAAUGACUGGGCGUAAAGGGCGCGUAGGCGGUUUGUACAGUUGGAUGUGAAAUUCCUGGGCUUAACCUGGGGGCUGCAUUCAAUACGUGCAGGCUUGAGUGUGGAAGAGGGUUGUGGAAUUCCCAGUGUAGAGGUGAAAUUCGUAGAUAUUGGGAAGAACACCGGUGGCGAAGGCGGCAACCUGGUCCAUUACUGACGCUGAGGCGCGAAAGCGUGGGGAGCAAACAGGAUUAGAUACCCCCGUAGUCCCUGUCUCUUAUAC